UACAGAGGUCUCAAGCGUUGUUCGGAUUUAUUGGGCGUAAAGAGUUCGUAGGUGGUUUGUUAAGUCUGAUGUUAAAGAUUGGGGCUCAACCCUGAAACUGCAUUGGAUACUGGCAGACUUGAGUGUGGUAGAGGCUAGUGGAAUUCCCAGUGUAGCGGUGAAAUGCGUAGAUAUUGGGAAGAACACCGGUGGCGUAGGCGACUAGCUGGGCCAUAACUGACACUGAGGAACGAAAGCCAGGGUAGCGAAUGGG
rnacentral:rRNA from 1 species